CAGAAUUGAAUAAGAGAAAGAAGUAAAUUUAUAUCAGAAAAACUAAAAAUUUCCAACCAAGGAGAGCUUGAUUCAGUCUUUUGUCAAUAGCAUGAAGUAAACUAACUCCAAGAAUUGAAUUCCCAAAGACUUUCUCAUUUUUUGGGGGUGUCAGAGUUCCCAAGAUCCUCAUGAACUUCGGGCAGUGCUUACACCCAAAUUCAUUACAGAAUUGAUGUAUAAUGCAGUGUGGAAGGGCCAGCCCUCAAAUUUCCAAAAUUAGAGGAAACUCAAGGUCCCAAAAGAAGGCUCAUAGGAGGGCGC
rnacentral:lncRNA from 1 species